CCCGCUGAACUUAAGCAUAUCAAUAAGCGGAGGAAAAGAAACUAACAAGGAUUCCCCUAGUAACUGCGAGUGAAGAGGGAAGAGCUCAAAUUUGAAAUCUGGCGGUUCUUGCAGCCGUCCGAGUUGUAGUUUAGAGAAGUGCUAUCCGCGCUGGCCUGUGCAUAAGUUUCUUGGAAAAGAAUAUCAUAGAGGGUGACAAUCCCGUCUUUGGCACAGAUCACCAGGGCUUUUGUGAUGCGCUCUCGACGAGUCGAGUUGUUUGGGAAUGCAGCUCUAAAUGGGUGGUAAAUUCCAUCUAAAGCUAAAUAUUGGCGAGAGACCGAUAGCGAACAAGUACCGUGAGGGAAAGAUGAAAAGAACUUUGAAAAGAGAGUUAAACAGUACGUGAAAUUGUUGAAAGGGAAACGCUUGAAGUCAGUCGCGUCUUCCAGGGAUCAAGUCGACUUUUGUCGGCCGUACUUUCUGGUUGAUGGGUCAGCAUCAAUUUUGACCGCUGGAUAAAGGCCUUGGGAAUGUAGCAUCUUCGGAUGUGUUAUAGACCAGGGUUCGGAUACAGUGAUUGGGAUUGAGGAGCUCAGUGUGCCCUUGUGGUUGGGGCAACUUGCCUACAUAGCGCACUUAGGAUGCUGGCAUAAUGGCUUUAAUCGACCCGUCUUGAAACACGG
rnacentral:rRNA from 1 species